rnacentral:lncRNA from 1 species
AGUGCCCAAAGGACGCAUUGCCAAUCAGCGAAUUACCAAAUGUAAGUGAACUAACUGAUCAUGAUGUAUGGAAUAGGAAUUCUAACUUAGCUUCGCUUCAAAUAAGCCCAAUCCUUGCAUUGCAUUUGAUUCUGGAAAGACCCAAACAGAUAGGCGAUCAGCUCAUGAUUCAAAGAGAAUCCCCACGAAAGGCAUAGUUGCAAAGAACAAGACACUAGAAAAGUCUUGCCAAAAACUUGUUAUGCAUUUUAUGCUAAAAUGAAAUUAGCAAAUUCCUAAUUCUUGGAUUUAGAAAGUUGGUGUUUGGACAUUGAUCCAAGAGAUUUUCCGCUGAAAAUUCAUGUGUAGGUCCUUGAAAAGUUCACCUGUUACAACGAAUAUUCUAACGGAACAUGCAAAGGAGUGGGGAAAUUCCUUCCUGAAGACACUUACGACAAGGCUUGGGCUUAUAGUGAUUCCAUCCAGGAUUUGCUGAACAUAUUUCCUGAUUUGCAGAGCCUGACCACCUGCUCCUUUGUGAGGAACGCAUUCUCGGAAGUUGUUGCCCAUCAGUGCAGUCCAUUCAAGGUUUCCAUUCGAUUGCUAUGGGCCUCAAUGCUCUCUCUUUCCAUUGCCAUGUUGCUUUUAGUAUUAACUUGGGUAGUAAAAGCUUUUCAGGAGAGGGGAAGAUGUUUCUCCAUGUGUUCCAUCAUCCCCAACCCUACACAGGAAAAUCGUAGGACACCCAGAUCAGAGGAAAUUUACACAUAGAAAAAUAUAGAGUUAUAUAAAAUGUUUGUACAAGAAACUCAAAAGACCACACCUGUAAAUGUACAUAAGAGAAAUGUAAACCAUUUUACCUUUUUUAUUCUUGGGCUUCAAUUACCAUAAUGACAAAGACAGUGAGCAGAAGAUGAGCAUCAUUGUGAAGUACUGAAGUACACCAGUUCACCCAAGUUUAGUUAAAA